ACAGCUCAGAAGUGGACAAAAUUAUCCUACAGAUGAUGCGAGUGGCUGAAUACCUGGAUUGGGAUGUGUCUGAGCUGAGGCCGGUAAGGCAGCUCUUCCUUCAUGUCCCUUCUUGUACCUUCUUCCCUGGUGAGUCCUGCAUCUGCCUUACUUCAUCUCUGACAGGCAACCUGGUUCCCUUGGCUAGGAUGGCUGGGCUGGAUAUCCUAAGAGGCAGUGGAGAGGUGUUGGGUCUGAAGACCCACUCAUACUGAAAGUCCCUUUCCACUCUGUGCUCAGAUUCUUCAGGAGAUGAUGAAAGAGAUUGACUAUGAUGGCAGUGGCUCUGUCUCUCAAGCUGAGUGGGUCCGGGCUGGGGCCACCACCGUGCCACUGCUAGUGCUGCUGGGUCUGGAGAUGACUCUGAAGGACGACGGACAGCACAUGUGGAGGCCCAAGAGGUUCCCCAGACCAGUCUACUGCAAUCUGUGCGAGUCAAGCAUUGGUCUUGGCAAACAGGGACUGAGCUGUAACCGUGAGUAAUGGGA
rnacentral:lncRNA from 1 species